AAACAACAGGAUUGCCUCAGUAGCGGCGAGUGAAGCGGCAAAAGCUCAAAUUUGAAAUCUGGUAGUUCUGCUACCCGAGUUGUAAUUUGUAGAAAACUGUCUUUGUUAGGGUGCCUGUCUAAGUUCCUUGGAACAGGACGUCGCAGAGGGUGAGAAUCCCGUGUGAUGGGUGGCCCGAGCUUUUAAGGCGUUUUCGAAGAGUCGAGUUGUUUGGGAAUGCAGCUCUAAGUGGGUGGUAAAUUCCAUCUAAAGCUAAAUAUUGGCGAGAGACCGAUAGCGAACAAGUACAGUGAUGGAAAGAUGAAAAGAACUUUGAAAAGAGAGUGAAACAGUACGUGAAAUUGUUGAAAGGGAAGGGUAUUUGAUCCGACAUGGGAUUUACUCAUCAUUGCUCCUUGUGGGUGGUGCUCUGGGUUUUUUCUGGGCCAGAAUCAGUUUGUGUGGCAGGAUAAAGGCGUGAGGAAGUAGCUCUUCUGGAGCAAUAUAACUCAUGUUAAUACUGCCUAUGCGGACUGAGGAAUGCGUUUUUACCAAGAUUCUGCAUAAC
rnacentral:rRNA from 1 species